ACAGAGGGUGCAAGCGUUAAUCGGAUUUACUGGGCGUAAAGCGUGCGUAGGCGGCCGGACAAGUCGAAUGUGAAAUCCCUGGGCUUAACCUGGGAACUGCAUCCGAAACUGUCUGGCUAGAAUGUGGUAGAGGGCGGUGGAAUUCCAGGUGUAGCGGUGAAAUGCGUAGAUAUCUGGAGGAACAUCAAUGGCGAAGGCAGCCGCCUGGGCCAACAUUGACGCUGAGGUACGAAAGCGUGGGGAGCAAACGGGA
rnacentral:rRNA from 1 species